GCACAGGUGAGGCUCCCCACUGCACAGGCCUGGCUGCUCAGGUGCAAAGGGAACCCUGGGGCUCAGGGGGGCCUGACCCUAGGCAAGGGGACGCGUGUGUUUGGAUUCGGGCUUCUCUACCUACCACGUUUUCGUUUCUUUAUUUUUAUUUAUCUUUUGAGGUACUUAGGACCUUGCUAAGUCCUAAGUUGCCCAGGCUGGAGCUUGAACACUGGGCCCUCCUGCCUCAGCCUCCCACCUUUACAGGUCCCAGUGCCCCCACAGGAGCAGCCCACCGUGCCAGGGUAUCCGCCCCAGCCCCGCUCACCUUGACCCACAGGUCCAGGUGCACCUUGUACUGCUUCUGCUGCUCCUCGGCCAGCUUCUUGUAGUGCUCCUUCUGGCUCUGUGAGAUGCGCUGCCAGCGGCUGCCGAUCUCCACCAUGCGCUCCUUCAGCGGCAGGUGGUUCAGCUCCCCGUUGGACAGCAGCUCCUGGGAGAACUUCUGGUAACCGUUCCUGGGGGUGGGGAGGGGCAGGGGUCAGGACCCAGCCUGAGGCCCGCCCUCCCCCGGACACCGCGCUGCUCACAUCGGGGGCUUCUUGGGCUCUCCCUGGAACUUCAUCUUCUUGGAGGAGUUGGCGGCGGCGGGGGGCGCCCGCAUCUCACUCAGCUCUCUCUGCAGGGAGAGAAAGGUCACCCCCGCCCCUCAGUGCUGCCACCCCUGCCUGAGCUGGCCAGAAAGCCACCGGAGCACGCCUGGCAGCUGGCUCACAGCGGUCAAACACCGCGGUGCCGGGUGCUCCCAGAAACGAGCCUGACCCCAGCUGUCACCGGGUUUUACUGUGACAGCACCUCGUCUUACGGGGAGGUGGAUCAGCCCGAUACGAGGGGGUCCCAGCCUCGCACCCUCAUGGGCGCUUCUGGUCCUCGGCUGCCUUCUUAAUCCACAUCAACUUCUCCUUCUUCUCCAUGUUGUUCCAGGUCAUCUCCAUGGCCUUCAGGGCCUUCACCCGGUCGUUCUGGGGGCAGACGGGCGGGUCACGGAGGGUCCUGGAGUGCUGGGGCGCCGAGGGCUGCAUCUCUGCCCUGUCGCCCCACCUUGGAAGCGUGCCAGGUAGUCGCCGAUGACGCUCUGCUGCCAAAUCUCCUCGGCCCGCUUGGGCGACUCGGGCAGCUUGCCGCGGUCCUCGCGCUCGGCGCCCGGCUUCCGGUCGGACUGCGCCUUCAGGGCAGCCUCGCGGGCCUUGUACUUGGCCUGCAGGGCGGACGGGACAGAGCCGCGGUCGUUCCACAUGCGCGCCAGCAGGCGGGUCAGCUCGCUCUCCGACAGCUCGGGCCGCUCCUCCUGCAGCUGCCGCCGCUUCUCCUCGGAGAAGAUGAACAUGGCCGACACAGGCCGCUUGGGCUUCUCGGCGCCAGCCUGCGGGCGGAGGGCGUGGGUCGCGGCGCCCCCCGGGGUCACGUGGGGCCCCCGCCCGCCGAGCCCUGUGCCCGCCUCGCACCUUGCCACCCUCCUGCGCCGGCUUCUUGGCGGCCGGGCUGCCCGCCUGCUUCUUGCUGAUGUUCAGCAUCUUCUCCUCACCCAGCACCCGCUGCUGCUCCUCCUCCGGCAGGCUCUGCACGACAGGACAGGGACGCGCGGGGCAGUGGGCGCGGCUGCAGGGCCUCCCCACCGCCUCCGCCGGGUUCCACUCACCUCCAGGAAGCGCAGCAGUUCCACCUCGUAGUCUUUCUUUUUCUAGGAAGCGAGGGGCUCGGGUCAGGUGGGGACGACGGCCGCAGUCACCCUGCCAGCCCCACAGCCCCACACCACAGGGUCCCCGCCGCACCUGGUCGCACUUCUUGUGGUAGGCGUCCUUCUCCUUCUGGGACAGCAGCUUCCACUGCUGGCUGCACAGCACCAUGCGCUCCGUGCUGGGCACAUCCUUCAUGUUGGCCAUCAGCUCAGCGCAGUACAGCGAGUAGCUGUUCCUGUGGGAGGGAGGGGCACCGUGAGGCGGGGCAGGCCUGCCGCUGCCCACCCGCCCGCCUGGGGCGGCGCUCACGGAGGCGGCUUGGUGGGUCGCCCGUCGAACUUGUCCUUGAGCUGGCGCUCGGCCUUGGUGAGGGUCGACUUGGUGAUGCCCUCCUCGCUGAUGUUCAGCUCGGGGUGCUUCUGGAUGUAGUCCCGCAUGAUCUCCUGCAGAGCGGGCGGCGGAGCGCAAUGGGAGUGGGUUAGCUGGGCCCGGCUGGGGGCCGCUGGGGAGGGGCCGGAGCAAAGCCGGGGGUGGCCGUGUGUCUGCCGCGACGCCCCGUGCCACACGGUGCCCUGCCCUGCCCUAGCCUGAGAUCUGGGGGGUGGCCGGGACGGUAAGGAUGGUAAGGGCAGAGGCGAGGGGCCACAAGG
ensembl:lncRNA